rnacentral:tRNA from 1 species
AGCGGGGUAGAGAAGUCUGGAGUUCUCGCCGGGCCCAUAACCCGGAGGUCGAUGGUUCAAAUCCAUCUCCCGCUA